rnacentral:misc_RNA from 1 species
UUGAAAAUUUUGGAGUUACUGUUGCUGGUCUUUAACAAGGCAUGUGCACGUAUCUCUAAUCUAUUCAUCCACCUGUGCACUUUUUGUAGGAGUUCUUUUGGAUUGGCUAGUAAGUUGAUUUGAAAGGCUUCUAUGUCUUACAAACUAGUUGAGCAUGUUUUAGAAUGUUUGUUUUACUGGGACUUUAUUGACCCUUUAAACUUUGUA